rnacentral:rRNA from 1 species
GUGGGGAAUAUUGGACAAUGGGCGCAAGCCUGAUCCAGCCAUGCCGCGUGAGUGAUGAAGGCCUUAGGGUUGUAAAGCUCUUUCAGUGGGGACGAUAAUGACGGUACCCACAGAAGAAGCCCCGGCUAACUUCGUGCCAGCAGCCGCGGUAAUACGAAGGGGGCUAGCGUUGUUCGGAUUUACUGGGCGUAAAGCGCACGUAGGCGGAUCGUUAAGUCGAGGGUGAAAUCCUGGAGCUCAACUCCAGAACUGCCUUCGAUACUGGCGAUCUUGAGUCCGGAAGAGGUGAGUGGAACUCCGAGUGUAGAGGUGAAAUUCGUAGAUAUUCGGAAGAACACCAGUGGCGAAGGCGACUCACUGGCCCAAUACUGACGCUGAGGCGCGAAAGCGUGGGGAGCAAACAGGAUUAGAAACCCCUGUAGUCC